rnacentral:rRNA from 1 species
GACGAACGCUGGCGGCGUGCUUAACACAUGCAAGUCGAACGGAAAGGCCCUGCUUUUGUGGGGUGCUCGAGUGGCGAACGGGUGAGUAACACGUGAGUAACCUGCCCUUGACUUUGGGAUAACUUCAGGAAACUGGGGCUAAUACCGGAUAGGAGCUCCUGCUGCAUGGUGGGGGUUGGAAAGUUUCGGCGGUUGGGGAUGGACUCGCGGCUUAUCAGCUUGUUGGUGGGGUAGUGGCUUAUCAAGGCUUUGACGGGUAGCCGGCCUGAGAGGGUGACCGGCCACAUUGGGACUGAGAUACGGCCCAGACUCCUACGGGAGGCAGCAGUGGGGAAUAUUGCACAAUGGGCGGAAGCCUGAUGCAGCAACGCCGUGUGCGGGAUGACGGCCUUCGGGUUGUAAACCGCUUUCGCCUGUGACGAAGCGUGAGUGACGGUAAUGGGUAAAGAAGCACCGGCUAACUACGUG